GAUGAACGCUGGCGGCGUGCUUAACACAUGCAAGUCGAACGGAAAGGCCAGUGCUUGCACUGGUACUCGAGUGGCGAACGGGUGAGUAACACGUGGGUGAUCUGCCCUGCACUUCGGGAUAAGCCUGGGAAACUGGGUCUAAUACCGGAUAGGACAAUGGUUUGGAUGCCGUUGUGGAAAGUUUUUUCGGUGUGGGAUGAGCUCGCGGCCUAUCAGCUUGUUGGUGGGGUAAUGGCCUACCAAGGCGUCGACGGGUAGCCGGCCUGAGAGGGUGUACGGCCACAUUGGGACUGAGAUACGGCCCAGACUCCUACGGGAGGCAGCAGUGGGGAAUAUUGCACAAUGGGCGCAAGCCUGAUGCAGCGACGCCGCGUGGGGGAUGACGGCCUUCGGGCUGUAAACUCCUUUCGCUAGGGACGAAGCGUAUUUGUGACGGUACCUGGAGAAGAAGCACCGGCUAACUACGUG
rnacentral:rRNA from 1 species